ACAAGCGGAGGAGCAUGUGGUUUAAUUCGAUGAUACGCGAGGAACCUUACCUGGGCUCGAACGUAAGAUGACUGUAGGUGAAAGCUUACAUCUCUUCGGAGCAUUUUACGAGGUGCUGCACGGUUGUCGUCAGCUCGUGCCGUGAGGUGUCGGGUUAAGUCCCAUAACGAGCGCAACCCCUACCUUAGUUGCCAUCAGGUUAAGCUGGGGACUCUAAAGGAACUGCCUACGCAAGUAGUGAGGAAGGCGGGGAUGACGUCAAAUCAGCACGGCCCUUACGUCCAGGGCUACACACGUGCUACAAUGGCCGAUACAGAGGGCAGCUACCUGGUGACAGGAUGCAAAUCUCCAAAGUCGGUCUCAGUUCGGAUCGGAGUCUGCAACCCGACUCCGUGAAGUUGGAUUCGCUAGUAAUCGCGCAUCAGCCAUGGCGCGGUGAAUACGUUCCCGGGCCUU
rnacentral:rRNA from 1 species